UACGUAGGGUGCGAGCGUUUAAUCGGAAUUACUGGGCGUAAAGCGUGCGCAGGCGGUUUUGUAAGCCAGAUGUGAAAUCCCCGGGCUCAACCUGGGAAUGGCGAUGGAUACUGGCUCGCUAGAGUGCGGUAGAGGAGAGUGGAAUUCCCGGUGUAGCAGUGAAAUGCGUAGAGAUCGGGAGGAACAUCAGUUGCGAAGGCGGCUCACUGGCUCGGUACUGACGCUGAGGUGCGAAAGCGUGGGGAGCAAACAGG
rnacentral:rRNA from 1 species